GUUCUCAAAAAAAAACCAUUGUGACUCUGUUUCAUACAUAUUUCCACCCCCCACCGUACAGCCCUUCUUCAUCAAAAAUAACUGCUCACACACUCAUCAUCUAUUAUACUCUGUCAAAAGCAAAACCCAGAAUAAUCAAUCAUUCACGCUCACCCAUCUACAGAGAGAGAGAGAGAGAGAGAGAGAGAGAGGAGUGAUGGGAGGUAGCGGUGUUGAAAGGUUGUGGUGGUCAGAAGGGGCUAUGGCGGUGGCGAUGACGGUAGCUACGACAGUGGGAGGCAGCAGCUUUGUGUAUGUUCGGGUGUGUGAGAAAUCACCAUUCUUCCUCAAUCACAAACCCUAACUUCCGAUUCUAAUUCAAUCCGCAACUCGUAAAUUGACUGAAACUGAAGCGUUAAGAGUGAGAGCAUCACUGCUGUCAUUGUUCGAUUCAACGUUGUUCUGUUCCGAACUCUUUGUCUGAUUUGUUGAGAUGUGAUUGACUCAGGAUCAUGAAGAAUCAGAUGCAAAAUUCAAGUUUCUUAAGAAGCAUCUUCAAUAGAAUCAAGCUGCGCCUCAAAGAAGGCACGUGAAGAAUGAUCGCAUAUAAAACUCCUUUUUGGAUGGCUGAAGCCUAGGAACACCAUGCAGCUGAACGCCUUAAAUAAGUUGGAUCACCUAUCGCCAUCGUCUUCCCGAAACAUACACUCGGAAAACAACUUUUGUACAACUUAUCCACGACAAUAUUUCGUACAGACUUGGUAGGUAAGGGUAGGCGACGUGAAUGUACUGCGAUAUAUAACUGCUCCCCGCCGCAUCGCGGCGGGUGGUAAAUCUAGUUUAUCUUAAAAUGUAAGAAUCGGGCGAACCCUUAAAAGAAGGCAACGGUUCAGGUCUAAGAAAGGUAUCACGGGUCCUAUACCCUGUUGGGCCCUAUAGAACCAUUUACAAACAAGUUAUUGGGCUU
rnacentral:lncRNA from 1 species